rnacentral:rRNA from 1 species
AGCGACAGAAGAAGCACCGGCUAACUCCGUGCCAGCAGCCGCGGUAAUACGGAGGGUGCGAGCGUUAAUCGGAAUUACUGGGCGUAAAGCGCAUGCAGGUGGUUUGUUUAAGUUCAGAUGUGAAAGACCCGGGGCGUCAACCUCGGAAUAGCAUUUGAAACUAGGCAGACUAGAGUACUGUAGAGGGGGGUAGGAAGUUUCUAGGUGUAGCGGUGAAAUGCGUAGAGAUCUGAAGGAAUACCGGUCGGCGAAGGCGGCCCCCUCGGACAGAUACUGACACUCAGAUGCGAAAGCGUGGGGAGCAAACAGGAUUAGAUACCCUGGUAG